rnacentral:rRNA from 1 species
UGGGGAAUAUUGCACAAUGGGCGCAAGCCUGAUGCAGCCAUGCCGCGUGUGUGAAGAAGGCCUUCGGGUUGUAAAGCACUUUCAGCGAGGAGGAAGGCAACAAGGUUAAUAACCUUGCUGAUUGACAUUACUCGCAGAAGAAGCACCGGCUAACUCCGUGCCAGCAGCCGCGGUAAUACGGAGGGUGCAAGCGUUAAUCGGAAUGACUGGGCGUAAAGCGCACGCAGGCGGUUUGUUAAGUUGGAUGUGAAAUCCCCGGGCUUAACCUGGGAACUGCAUUCAAAACUGGCAAGCUAGAGUCUCGUAGAGGGGGGUAGAAUUCCAGGUGUAGCGGUGAAAUGCGUAGAUAUCUGGAGGAAUACCGGUGGCGAAGGCGGCCCCCAGGACGAAGACUGACGCUCAGGUGCGAAAGCGUGGGGAGCAAACA